UUUGGUAGUAAGCAGUAAUCAAGCCUGUGCUUGUCCCAGAGGGAAACAUUACCUCAUCCUUCAAGGUUGCUCACUGCAGACACAACCCUGAGAAGCGGCCCAGGUAAGGAGUUUAGGUCAAAGCCUUGCUUUUUUGGUAUAUACAGCAAGACAUAUUGAAGGACUGUCUUUUUGCAGCCCAUAUGGAUCAGCAUUCCAGGGAGACCAGGGUGAAGACCAGUAGAGGUGGGUUUGGAUUGGCAGAUGGAAGAUUCUGGCAUUCUGGGUCCAUAGCGUUAAAUUCUUAUUUGGAUUACAGCCGAAUCAGCAGUUCUGGCCUGUGAUCAGGGUGCAAUAUUCUUAUUGUUCUUUCUCCCAUAUUUUCUUAAUCAGAAGGAAGGACCUACUUCCACAGGACAAUCUUCUUUAGGGUUGCAAUAUUAGAAAUUAGUUUCUAGUUGUGUGUGUGUGUGGUUGGCAGCUGUUAACCAAUAAUACAAGAUUUUGCUUUGUUACCACAAUGCUCAAAAAUACACAAAAUCCAAGCUCAUAACUUGUUCUCUUUACCGU
rnacentral:lncRNA from 10 species